UUCGUUUUAGACAAUAAAGCUUCUGCCCAGUGAGCGCUGGGAAUUACAGUGGACAAUGGAGGAGGCAUUCUUAAGAGUGUCUAAUGAUGGGGGGGAAAAGAAAAAUAUUUAUUGCUUUUGACAGUUUCACAAGGGGCAAAAAUCCUUGUCAUGGUUUAAAGUUUCCACAGCUGUUUGGAGGGAAGGGUGGCGCCUACGGACUGGAAACAGUUCGGCAUCUUUGUUUAGCAGGCCAAGCGCAAAAGGGGCCAAGCUGUGAAAUUAAAGAUGUAAGUUCAUUAAGCAGAGAAGCUGAUGUCUUUGCAAAAGAGAACUGCGGCAGCGACUUGUAACCCUACCAGUCAAUUUUUUAAAAGGACACAAUAGCCAUGCACCGAAGAUCCUCAGCAAGAGCUCACACUGCCCAUAGACUUCACUUGGAGACAAAUGGUGAGUCAGGAUAUUCCUUGGGAGCAAGUGGGAUUUGCAAGAAAUAAGAAGACCUCCCCUGGACUGGAUCAAAUGC